rnacentral:rRNA from 1 species
CCUACGGGAGGCAGCAGUGAGGAAUAUUGGUCAAUGGCCGGAAGGCUGAACCAGCGAAGCCGCGUGAAGGACGAAGGUGCCCAGCAUUUUAACCGUCUUUUGUCAAGGGACAAGAUCAGGCUCGGGAGCCUUACCGAGGGUUCUUGAAAAAAAAGCAUCGGCUAACUGCGUGCCAGCCGCCGCGGUAACGCGGAGGAUGCGAGCGUUAUCCGGUUUUAUUGUGUUUAGAGUGUGCGUAGGGUGACGGUUAAGUCAGCGGUAAAAGCCCGGGGCUCAAGCCCGGUGAGCCGUUGAUACUGGCUGUCUUGAGUUGUCGAGAGGUAUGCGGAAUGCGCAGUGUAGCGGUGAAAUGCUUAGAUAUUGCGCAGAACUCCGAUUGCGAAGGCAGCAUACCGGCGGCGAUCUGACGCUGAGGCACGAAAGCGUGGGUAUCGAACAGGAUUAGAUACCCUUGUAGUC